GGUUAAACGAAGCAGCACCGCAUUAAAGACUUAUUCAACACAUGGUUGACUUCUUGUAUUACUUACAGUAGCCAUGGAGUUAAAUCCUUGUUUGCUUUCAUGAAAUCCACUGAUUCAAUUGAAGCGCGUGCAAUUCGGCUGGACUGUACUUAGCGAAACUGGGACAGCAGCAAUUUGUGCCUCCGCAUCCGCCGUCCACAAUGAUCUAUAUAGCCACAUCCUCGCUGCCAGAUAUAGCCGCAUUCGGAGCCACAGUAGUCAGCGCGCCAGCGUUUCACAAUGGUGGCCCAUGUUUAUGGCUUUGGCUGUUGCUGAAUGCCUCGAUUGGUCAGCUGGGCUCCCCCGCUCGAAACUGAAACGGGUAGCAUGUUUGGAAAAAAAGGGCAGCAGCACUAGGAAAAACUAUUGUGAGCAUCGACAAAGAUUUACGAGUCGCAUUUAUGGCGAAACUUUGGCCCAGACUCGCACACUGGAUGAGUAAUGCCUGCUUGUGUAAUUGCCAACAUACAUCAAUUGUUAGCAGCCAAUUUGGCAAUCGAUAUAAAAAAAUACGCGUGCGAUGACCAUUAACACAUAAUCAUUGCCCCAAGGCGGUGGCUGGCAAAAAUCAAGUGGCGAUCUGUGGGCGCCGAAGGGGCAGUUAAAUCCGAAGGACCUUCAUUAAACUGCCAGCAAAUCCAGCCAUGUGUAUACCGGCGAGUGUCCUUCGCAUCAAGGAUGUGCCCGCAUCGCAUUCGCAUUCGCAUUCGCAUUCUCAUCGCUGCUCGUAUCCGUGUGCCUGGUUUGCUGGCCGUCGUGUAAUCGCAAAUAAUCAUCCACUUAACGUCGUGAAACUUUAUGCCGGAGAUGGCCCAGCCAGGCCCUUAGCUCGGCCUCCAUCCUCCAGCCGCCAUCCUUGAUGGUCCGGAGCCAUCUGCUUCCUCCCUUGGAGUCAGCACAAUGUGACCGGGACUUGGACACGGACUCGGACUUGGACAGUGCCAGUCAUAAUAAUGUUUAUUAUGUGUAUGCUUUCUGGCAAUGGAGUAAAGCGUUUGUUUGUGCACAGAGAGAAAAGUGCACUAGUAAGUUGAUCUUUAUUGCGAUAAUAUGAUAUAUGAGAUAAUAUGAUAUAUGAGAUAAUAUGAUAUAUGAGAUAAUAUGAAAUAUGAGAUAUGAUAUAUUAUUUAAUAUAUAUUCUUAACCUAAGAUACUUCACUGAUAAAUUCGCAUUUAUAUAUAGUAAAAAUCGAGGUGUAGUGAGUUUUUCUCUGUGUAUCCCCACAAAGGACACGAAUGGCCCCAAAAUCCUCUAAAGGAGUGGUUGUGUAUCUCUGCACUUGACAAGUGAAACGGGUAGCUGGGCCUGCGUAUUUUUAGAGCCACUCGUUUGACUGGCAAAACAAUCCGAGGCCGGGCAUCACAUCAAACAUGAAUCCACGGGCAGAGCAGGCCGUAGCAGUAGUAGAAAGGUGCCUCUUAAAGGCGCCCUUAAAUUCCAGCUGUUGGCCAUAAAGCAGCAGCCAAGUAGGAAGUGAAGCCAUUUCUAGCGCAUCCUGGCCAACGGCAACGAACAUCCUGCGCCAGAAAUUGUAAAUUUUCGCUGCUCGACAAACAAAAGCGCAGCAGGAUGUGCAAGGCAAACAGUUGCUGAAUUUUAUUGUCAGUGGAUGCAGCCAGUGGAUGUCGCUCCCAAUCCAGCGAGGGAGUAACUUUUGGUCCGAUCUCCGGCUAAUGCCUUUAACUGGUCCGCUUGGCCGUGGCUCAAUAGAUUUUAUUUUUUGUGCGACUGAACUGGAAAACCGAAUGACCAACAAAUCAAAUAGC
ensembl:ncRNA lncRNA:CR45276 long non-coding RNA:CR45276